rnacentral:rRNA from 1 species
AUUGAACGCUAGCGGGAUGCUUUACACAUGCAAGUCGAACGAGUGGCGGACGGGUGAGUAAUAAAUCGGAACGUGCCCAGUAGCGGGGGAUAACUACUAGAAAGAGUGGAUAAUACCGCAUACUAUUGAAGCGGCCGAUAUCGGAUUAGCUAGUUGGUGGGGUAAAGGCUACACAAGGCAACGAUCCGUAGCUGGUUUGAGAGGACGACCAGCCACACUGGGACUGAGACACGGCCCAGACUCCUACGGGAGGCAGCAGUGGGGAAUUUUGGACAAUGGGGGAAACCCUGAUCCAGCCAUCCCGCGUGUAUGAGAAGGCCUUCGGGUUGUAAAGUACUUUCAGUCGGGAGGCGUUACCGACAGAAGAAGCACCGGCUAACUCCGUGCCAGCAGCCGCGGUAAUUC